CCUACGGGAGGCAGCAGUGGGGGAUAUUGGGCAAUGGGGGGAAGCCUGAUCCAGCGACGCCGCGUGAGGGAAGAAGGAUCUCGGGAUGUAAAGCUCUAUCGGCAGGGAAGAAGAAAUGACGGUACCUGAGGAAUAAGCCCCGGCUAACUACGUGCCAGCAGCCGCGGUAAUACGUAGGGGGCAAGCGUUGUCCGGAAUUACUGGGUGUAAAGGGCGCGUAGACGGGCAUGUAAGUCUGAAGUGAAAGCCGGGGGCUCAACCCCCGGACUGCUCUGGAAACUAUUGGACUGGAGUGCAGGAGAGGCGGGCGGAAUUCCUAGUGUAGCGGUGAAAUGCGUAGAUAUUAGGAGGAACACCAGUGGCGAAGGCGGCUCACUGGACUAUAACUGACGUUGAGGCUCGAAAGCGUGGGGAGCAAACAGGAUUAGAUACCCGGGUAGUC
rnacentral:rRNA from 1 species